UACGGAGGGGUGCAGCGUUAUCCGGAUUCACUGGGUUUAAAGGGUGCGUAGGAGGGCAGGGAAGUCCGUGGUGAAAUCCUAGAGCUUAACUCUAGAACUGCCGUGGAUACUCUCUGUCUUGAAUCCCGUGGAGAUGAGCGGAAUAUGUCAUGUAGCGGUGAAAUGCUUAGAUAUGACAUAGAACACCAAUUGCGAAGGCAGCUCGUUACACGAAGAUUGACUCUGAGGCACGAAAGCGUGGGGAUCAAACAGG
rnacentral:rRNA from 1 species